UACGUAGGGUGCAAGCGUUGUCCGGAAUUAUUGGGCGUAAAGAGCUCGUAGGCGGUUUGUCGCGUCUGCUGUGAAAACCCGAGGCUCAACCUCGGGCCUGCAGUCGAUACGGGCGGACUUGAGUACUGCAGGGGAGACUGGAAUUCCUGGUGUAGCGGUGAAAUGCGUAGAGAUCGGAAAGAACACCAACGGCGAAAGCACUCUGCUGGGCCGAACACUGACACUGGAGAGACGAAAGCUAGGGGAGCGAAUGGG
rnacentral:rRNA from 1 species